GUGACCUCGAUCAGUAGAUGC
rnacentral:rRNA from 1 species